UUGAAACCUUUAAUGGGAUGGUACUCAUGUUUUAUGAGGGUUGGAAUGAAAUCAUAGAAUAGAGUCUGGUUCACGUGAUUACUCCUUUGCUGCAGAACAAAUCAACCAGAUGCUGGUCACCUGGAGAAACAGACAACCUGUUCAUGUCAAUCAGACAGAAGCUCUCUGCAAAGCAUUGAAGGAGGUUGGAAAUUCACAACUUGCUGCCAACUUGACAGAAUGGCUGACUGGGAUGGAGGGGAGAGCCAGAGGAGAUUAGGGAGACAUCACGAAGCAACAGGGCCACUGGAUGAUGACAGCCUCUACAGCAUAUCUACGCAGAUUCAUGCAGGUGAAUGGAGGGGACUGGCAACAAGGCUUGGCUUCAGUGCUGCAGAAGUCUCCCACUUUCCAAGUGAUCACUCCUUCACUGCAGAACAAAUCAACCAGAUGCUGGUCACCUGGAGAAACAGACAACCUGUUCAUGUCAAUCAGACAGAAGCUCUCUGCAAAGCAUUGAAGGAGGUUGGAAAUGCACAACUAGCUGACAACUUGACAGAGAAUCAACCAAGUGCAUGCAAGCAACCAACCACACAGAGGGCUGUCUUAUGCUCACAGACACCAGGAGAGUUGGAUGAUAGCAGUCUGUAUGACAUAGCUGAACAGAUUGAUGCAAAUGAAUGGACAAGACUUGCUGCAAAGCUUGGCUUCAACCAAGCAAGAGUCUCUCACUUCAAGGACAAUCAUUCCAGUGUUGUUGAUCAGAUCAAUGGGAUGCUGGUUGCAUGGAGGAAGAAACAACCAGGUGAUGUCAAUCAGAGAGAAGCUCUCUGCAAAGCACUAAGGGAAGUUGGGGACAUCAAUCUUGCCGAUAAGCUGAGUGAGUACAGUGCGUCUGAUGUGCAGUCCCUGAAUGCUGCCAAUAUCUGUGAAGAUGAACUGAAGUCACACUACAAGGAGACAGGUAGCUUUCUACAGAUGAACCCAUGGUGUGAGGAUCUCAAAAAACCCAUUGCAGAGAUGUGUACCAAAGUACAGUUAAUAACUGGUGAGGGAAAAACAGAAUAUACACUGGUAUCUUAUGAGGAAAUGUUGCUGCUGAAAACAAAAGAAGGUAAAUUGAUCCCAAUAGCUGUACUAAGUGGGCUGGCUGGUAGAGGAAAGACCACUCUUUUUGACAAGAUUGCAUAUGAUUGGGCAGCUGGCUCUUGCAAGGUCUUACAGAAGUAUAAACUGGUCUUCCUGUUGAAAAUGUGUAAUCUGAAGCAGGAGUCAAAUCUUGUUGGUUCAGUUUUUGACCAACUCCUAGCAGAAGACACAAAUUUAGACUUGAAUGCUCUGGAGUCAUACAUCAAGAUGAAUUCUGGCAAAGUCCUCAUACUCUUGGAUGGCUUUGAUGAGUUGAGGACCACUUCCCUCAACAAAUCCUCAUUUGGUUCCAUUCUGAAAAUCCUCAAUCGUAGGAUGUGUAGAGGUUGCACUGUACUUGUGAGCACCCGCCCCUCCCACUUAGUCAGAUUGACAACGAAGGCAUUGAUUCAACAACCAUUCACACAUGUCAGGGUCAUGGGGUUCAGUAAAGAAGACAUCACUGAGUAUGUGAACAAAUUUUACUGUGAUGAACCUACUAAGGCAAAGGAACUUCUGACAAGGAUUAGAUCCUCAAACCUUUUUUCAGUUUUGGCAGAGAGUCCAAUGUUGCUUCUGAUGAUGUGUUCCCUGUGGAGUAAAGAUUCCAAACUUCCAGAAACAAUGUCCAGCUUCUACCACAACGCAGUUGAUGAAAUUGGAAAAAGAAAAGAUGUGUCAGAACAAGAAAUAAACAGUGUAGUGAUUGAACUUGGCAAGGUUGGUUUGCAAGGUCUCCUUUUUCCAGAUCAAGUGCUGUCUUUUAAAGACAGUGACUUUGAGCCGGGAGAGCUUAACCUUGCUCUAAAAGCAGGUAUUUUGACAACACAGAGAGUCUUCAAGGGACGAGUCCCCCACGGCAGUGUGCAGUUCAUUCAUAAGACAUUCCAGGAAUUCUGUUCUGCUUUAUACCUCCAGAACUUGUUUGAAGUAAACAGACAAGAAUUUCAGAAGAUUCUGAAUGAAAUUGUGUCAAAAAGCCCAGUGGAUUUUGAAUACCUUUUGCGCUUUUGUUGUGGAGGAAAUGAGACGUGUACAUUUGAGAUACUGAAUGUGUUUCUGGCGAAGUGUAAGAAUCGUUUGUCAGUUAGGGAUAGGGUGGGUCAGUUGGCACUUCACUGUUACUUUGAAAGUCAGUGUAAGUGCCUACCAUCUAAGAAGUUCAUACAAGCAGUCUUACGUGAUAACAUCAACCUUCAUGGUCUUCUUGAUGAUACAUUGCUUUCAGUGACAUACUUUCUGAGACGUGUUGCAGAGGAUAGUGGCAGUGCUUACCUUGAUAAAAUAAAAAAGCUGAACAUUUCGCACUGUGAGUGGAUAAGGUCUGUCACAGAUUUGGCCUUUGCUGUGAGUGCAAUGAAAAGCCUGAAUAAGGCACAAAUCAUUGGUAGCUUAACCAGUGAAACCAUAGCACCUGUCAUGAAGUCUCUCCGUAAUCUAGCCAAAUUGGUUUCAUUGAAUCUCUUUUACAACUAUCUGGAUAGUACAGCAGCAUCAUGGGGAAUGCAUUUGAAGGAGAUCAAGCCCCUGCAGUGGUUGAACUUGAGUCACUGCUCAUUGAAUGGAGAGGACAUGGUACAUGUUGCUGAGUCACUCAAGGAUCUUCCCAAUUUGGCUAGAUUGGAUGUUCCUAAUAAUAACCUUGGUGGUACAGCAGCAUCAUGGGGAAUUCAUCUGAAGGAGCUCAAACCCCUGCAGGAGCUGAUCUUGAGGAACUGUUCAUUGAAUGGACAGGACAUGGUACAUGUUGUUGAGUCACUCAAGGGUCUACACAAUUUGGCUACAUUGGAUAUUCCUGGUAAUAACCUUGGUGGUACAGCAGCAUCAUGGGGAAUCCACGUGAAGGAGCUCAAGCCCCUGCAGAGGCUGGACUUGAGGAACUGCUCAUUGAAUGGACAGGACAUGGUACAUGUUGUUGAGUCACUCAAGGAUCUACCCAAUUUUGCUGAAUUGGAUGUUUCUGAUAAUAACCUUGACGGCACAACAGCAUCAUGGGGAAUGCAUCUGAAGGAGCUCAAGCCCCUGCAGGAGGUGGACUUGAGUCACUGCUCAUUGAAUGAACAGGACAUGGUACAUGUUGUUGGAGCACUCAAGGAUCUACCCAAUUUGGCUAGAUUAGAUGUUUCUGGUAAUAACCUUGGUGGUACAGCAGCAUCAUGGGGAAUGCACUUGAAGGACCUCAAGCCCCUGCAGAAGAUGGACUUGAGGGGCUGCUCAUUGAAUGGACAGGACAUGGUACAUGUUGUUGAGUUACUCAAGGAUCUACCCAAUUUCGCUAGAUUGGAUGUUUCUGAUAAUAACCUUGGUGGUUCAGCAGCAUCAUGGGGAAUGCAUUUGAAGGAGCUCAAGCCCCUGCAGAGGAUGGACUUGAGUCAUUGCUCAUUGAAUGAACAGGACAUGGUACACGUUGCUGAGUCACUCAAGGAUCUACCCAAUUUGGCUAGAUUGGAUGUUCCUUAUAAUAACCUUGGUGGUACAGCAGCAUCAUGGGGAAUGAACUUGAAGGACCUCAAGCCCCUGCAGAGGAUGGACUUGAGGGGCUGCUCAUUGAAUGGACAGGACAUGGUACAUGUUGCUGAGGCACUCAGGGAUCUACCCAAUUUGGUUUCAUUGGAUGUUCAUAGUAAUAACCUUGGUGGUACAGCGGCAUCAUGGGGAAUGUAUCUGAAGGAGCUCAAACCCCUGCAGGAGCUGGACUUGAGAAGCUGCUCAUUGAAUGGACAGGACAUGGUACAUGUUACUAAGUCACUUAAAGAGCUGCCCAACUUGGUUUCAUUGGAUGUCUCUGGUAAUGCAGACCUGGCUGGUACAGCCACUUCAUGGUGCUUGCCUUUGAAACAUGCAAAGGCCCUGCGGGACCCGGAGCUCUACAGCUGUGAGCUGACAGAAGAGGAUAAGAAACGCCUUCAUGAUGCACUGGGUAACCUAGAUAAAUUGCUUCUGUAGCACUAGGGGAUAUUGCUUGGUAAUUGACAGGAAAAAAUGAAUUUUGGUUGUAACAUUUCAAUGACAAGUUGAUAUGAGAUAUCAUACAAGCAAACACUGAAAGGUUUAGUGUGUGUGCAUGCCUUAGCCAGACUAAUUUAUUGUGCAUUUGUUGUAAAAGAAACUUCUGGAUUCUAAAUACAUGCAUUGAACAAAUAACCAGCCCAUUGUGUACCUUACAUUUUGUUCAAAUUUAUGAAAUUCAUAUAUCCAUUAAACUUAUGUGGUCACCAGAUUCCCCUGAGCGAAGCACUAAUAAAAUCAGAGCUUUACAACUCAGUGCAACUAGUUACAUGUCCCUCAUAAUGCAAAGUCCCAUUGAAAACCUACCCUGUCAAGAAGAUACAAGCUUGCAACAAAACUAGAACUUUGGUAGCACAUUCAUGCAUGUUACACCAACAGUAGAUUUUCUAGAUGUUGCACAUGCAGAAGAGAGAAUAUUUCAUCCUUCUUUGUUGCAGCGACUCAAGAGAAGUCGUGGUGCCUUCAACAAUAUUAACUGUAACCUUCUUCCUCCAUUCUUACAGUUAAAGUUUUAUGUUCUUUUUCCAUUUCUCCUUGGAUGAAAAAACACAUUGAGAACUGGUCAGACUUUGACCUUGUGAGGUGGAUUGACUAGUGAUUGUGAGUGAUGGUACUUCCUUGUUGCCCUCGUUACCGGUAGCUAGUAGGAUGUUGAAGCGCAGGAAGCCAAAGUUGGAAACAAGGCAAGCAAAAACAAUCCGCACCAUCGGCUAGUGGCAUUUGGGUGCCUGUGGAUGUUGAAAAUCUUCUUUUAUUUGUUUGGUGUGAUUGGCACUUUCCAAACUAGUAAUGAUGAGUGAAGGCAUUCGAAACCUUGCCAGAAAGUGUUACAUGUAAUCAUCAUGAUGACCAUGUGAGAGGUUGAGCUGGUCUGACUAUGGACCCUAUUAACCGCUGCUGUGGCAGACUUGGCAAUUGUCUUGUGUCCAUAAGUCACAAGAUGUGCAAUGUACAAUGCUAGGCAAAAUGGGUCAACAGGAAACACUGUGAUGCCAGCUUGGGAAGAUGCCCUACUCUCCUACCUUCCCAAGAUGCCUUGGCAUUUCUUGGUAGUUGACAAAGCCUUUGUUGGCAUGAGCAGGGUUUGUAGGUUAAAUCAGGUCGGACUGUGUAAGAUGAAGUUCCAGAGGGAGUAUACCAGGCUAUUCCAAAUCCUUGUCAAAACAAGAGGAGAACAGCAACAGUUAAUGGGUUCAACAUACAGUAAGUACAAAAAAAAAACAUCGAGUAGAACUCAUGAUACAGAAAUCACCGUAGGCCUAAGUAGUUUCUCAAAUAGAACUUCAUAGGUACUGAGAACCCAUGUUGCAAAAUUCAUCCUCGGUGGGAGACUUUCAGAUGCAUGGUGACGGCAGACAAACCAGUCCUUUUCCACAGUUGCGCACAUGCUCAGGAUUAACGCGCAUGCCUAGAACUGCACGCACAUGCCCACACCAACCAAAAAAGGAUCAUUGUGUGUGCCGCUUAUAAAAGCUAUAUUUUUAAAGUGCCAGGCUCUUUGGUCUAGGAGUUAAGACUAAAGCUUGCAUGGUGUGAACUCGUUUGCCUGUAAUUAUUAUGAUUUGGUGGGUUGGAAUUUGAAAUUGUGCUGCCCAGCUCUUGUGAAGACACAUGAAUCUUGCACAAAGAAACUUGUAGUACGUGGUUUCAGUUGAAUAGAAAUUGCAUGUUUUGAUUCCAGUAACGAAAGUUCUGGCUGUUUAAAGCUGUAUUUCCAUUGUCAAAGGACAGGUAGGCCGAGUUAAAAUCUGCUUCAUUUCUAUUCUGUCAUUAGUGCUGUAAACAAGGUGACUCAGCAACAGUGUCUUUCUUUUACUGUGUCUCUGCUGCUUUCUGGUUCCCUUGGAAGUGAGUUCCAGUCAUCUACCACUUUCUGGCUGAAGACACUCAGCCUGUCGGCUGUGAGGGGAUCUUUCUUUGACUAUGUCUCUGCUGCUUUCUGGUUCCCUUGGAACUGAGUUCCAGUCAUCUACCACUUUCUGGCUGAACACACUCAGCCUGUCAGUUGUGAGGGGAUCUUUCUUUGACUAUGUCUCUGCUGCUUUCUGGUUCCCUUGGAACUGAGUUCCAGUCAUCUACCACUUUCUGGCUGAACACACUCAGCCUGUCAGUUGUGAGGGGAUCUUUCUUUGACUAUGUCUCUGCUGCUUUGUGUUUCCCCUGGGGGAGUGAGUUCCAGUCAUAUAUCACCCAUUGACUUCAGAAACACAUUCAGUCUAUCAGCUCAUCAGGUGGAAAAUCUCUGUAUAUAUAUCUACUUGUCUUUUUUCACUCUCUGUUAGGAAUCAUGAAAUCCAGAAUUUAACAGUCCUAGGUCUCUUUCCCUGUAGUCCCCAUGGUAUUUCCAUCCCUCAAGAGAAACGCAUGAAGAACCUAUGCCAUGUCAGUGAUUGAAACCUGUCUCAAGAGGUUGAGUAAAAUAGUUUCUGCUUAUCAGACUAAUCAGUGAAGAGUCUGUUCAGAUGAAUCCUGGCAGUCAAAUGUAGAUCUUGUAACAGAAAAGGUAUCUUUGAUGCACAGAUGAAGCACCUGUCUUGGAAAGACAGUCCCCUGACUCUGUCCUUUUGAAAGGUUUGGUUUUGUUUCAGGAUUAAUUUCAGUGCUGUGCAAGCAGCCUAACAGUUUAUGAGGAGGCAGUAGGCAGACUAUGCAUUGGUAACCACAGCAUACUACUAGAUAAUUCUGAGCUUUACAGCCGUCUAUAGUGGCAGCUGUUUGACUAGAGACACAAAAACGCUCUAAAUGGGGCCUGAGCAAUAUUUCCCUCUUUGGUUAUCAAUUUCUGCAAGUUUUUCAAUGCACCUGAACAUUUCAUGCUCAUGAGUAAAGCGUGCAUGCUUUAGUUUGAAUGAAAAAGUGAAGCAUUUUAUGUUUUGACACAGGUGCUUUUCCCUAUUGCAAUUAAAAAAUAGAUGGAUCCAACAAAAUUGACCUGUAAAAUUUGACAUUAAAAAUGGACAUUGAUUUUCAUUACAUAAUAGAAAUCACCGUCUGGCCUCAAUCCAGUUGCUUUUGUAGCCUUCACACUGAAACACACAAAAAGCAGGCAACGGAGUAAUGGCAUACUCAAACUUCAAGGGGCGCACUAAGGAUGGACCAACUUGGAAUUAUGACCUGUUGUAACAGCCAAAUGUUUAGUUUCAAAUACACUUGUACGUGAAAUUUGACUUGUCACACUUUUGAUAACCUUUCACGAUUCAUGAUUUUUUUGUAUUGAAUUCAGCAAUGAUUGGGAGGUUUAUUUGGUGAGUUUCUAUGUAAGAUUUGAUUGUAUACAAAUGCUCAUCUAUGCCAAUUUCUUGGACAGCAUUCUGGAAUUCUGUGUUGGGAUUUUUAUAAACUGAAAGACAGCUGCACAGAUUUCAGUUGAAUUCUAAACUUUGAGGAAACCAAACAAGACAGUUCUGAGUGACAGGGUUUGGCUGUGUGUGUCAGUAUUGUUGGUUGCAAAUAAAAAGUAUAAAUAUUUAGAGACUGGGUCAUUUCAAGGCACAAAUAUCACUGAAAUAUUUCUGAUGCGUUCCCUGGAGGGACCACACUAUCAAAAUGAGGGUUGCCUGUUGCACAUACUCAGAAAUAAGUGAAAAUUCUCAUCUAAAGGAUUCCAAAGUUUGAUUUGCAUUUAUAUUGUCUGAAAGGCAAAUCCAUCCUUAACAAUAGAUUCUCCAGCCAAAUCAACUUACAAAGCUUCCUUUUUCAAAUGCAUUUCAGUAAUUACUUAGAUCAAGAGUCACUUAAGAUUAAACUAGGUACAUCAAGUACUUAAGAAAAUGUAAGGUGCAGUUGAUAGAGAUAGUGACAUUGUUUUAAUAUCUGAGAAUAGUGGACCUACAUGUACAUGUAAUUACUCUUCACCAAACAACUUGCCUGUACUAAACUAUACAUGUUAUGGAACCGGGAGGUCUGUGCAAUACGCUGAUGAAGACAGUGCAUUUGUUCAUGGAGAGAAAAAGACACCACUUUUAUAUCAUUAUACGUUUGCAUAAAUAUUGUCAUACAAGUUAGAAGAGAAGAUGCAUUUUUGUAACCUUUGAUCUGAAUCAUGGAGCCUGCCAGCAUUUAAAUAUGUAACUCACGUUUUGUUCCUAUCCUGGAUCACUGGCAACUCCUGAAUUACCAUUAAAUCAACCAUAACCUGUAAAAUCUCACCCGUGGUUAAGUCGCUGGGAAGCAGUACCGUUAAUAUUGCAAGAUGAAAAUGCUGUGAAAUAAUGUCAGAAGAGUUAGAGAGCUUCAAUUACAACUUGUGUCUAAUGAGUAUGCCAUGGAACAUCUGUUUUGAAUGUUAUUUGUGUAACCUACCUUCUCAGAUUGAAAACGGAGUCACCAUUUCACGGUAUAGUACUUGUAUUUAUAAUCAAGAGUGUGUAUUUUCUUCCAUACUUGUACUCAAUGUAAAUGCACUCAUACUUGUGCAAGUGUUCUGGCCUGCAGCGUCCAGGAAGGUUUAAAAACUAUUACAUAGUCCUGAGUUUUACACCACUAUUUUGGUAUUUAGCUGAGGAAGCCGGGAUUCGGCAUCACUUCAUUUUCCCCACAGUACUUAAUACCGAUUUAUUUUCUCAUAUAGUGCUGUAGAUUCAAUUGGGCACUGAAUCCAGAGUUCCUUUGCCAACUGUCUCAUCUUUUGUAAAGACCUGAAGAAAUUGUUUUGGUUUCCCUAUUGAAAAACAUUCCUGAUUUUUUUACAAGGCUUAGGGUACCCUUCCUGUCUGUACUUUUUGGAAGGUCUCCCUCAGUAAAUUCAACUAGUUCUCUCUCAUGAUUGUAUGGGUUUUCCUCAGUUUCCUCUCACAGUGUCAUGAACAAGCAAGCUCGGAAGAAUUGUUCCAGCAACUGUAUGUCCAAGGCCCAAUGGGUAUUUUCUUUCUAGUUGUGGUUAUAAAUCAUUUAUCUACGUUCAAACUUUAGCUGUUGGUUCAAGCAUCAUACGUGUUUCAAUCAUUUUAUUUAAUACUCUCUUUAUUGCCAAUAAAGUUGCCAAUGAACAAUGGUAAAGUUGUCAGGAACUUA